GCCAGCAGCCAUAUCACCCUGCAACUCACAACUGGCAACUCACUGACGCUAAGCAGGUGUGAGCCUGGUCAGUACCUGGCUGGGAGACCUCCUGGGAAAAACUAAGGUUGUUGCUGGAA
ensembl:rRNA 5S_rRNA 5S ribosomal RNA